rnacentral:rRNA from 1 species
UACCAGCACCCCGAGUGGUCGGGACGUUUAUUGGGCCUAAAGCAUCCGUAGCCGGUUCUACAAGUCUUCCGUUAAAUCCAUCUGCUUAACAGAUGGGCUGCGGAAGAUACUAUAGAGCUAGGAGGCGGGAGAGGCAAGCGGUACUCGAUGGGUAGGGGUAAAAUCCGUUGAUCCACUGAAGACCACCAGUGGCGAAGGCGGCUUGCCAGAACGCGCUCGACGGUGAGGGAUGAAAGCUGGGGGAGCAAACCGG